rnacentral:rRNA from 1 species
AACGAACGCUGGCGGCAGGCUUAACACAUGCAAGUCGAGCGCCCCGCAAGGGGAGCGGCAGACGGGUGAGUAACGCGUGGGAAUCUACCCAUCUCUACGGAAUAACGCAUGGAAACCUGUGCUAAUACCGUAUACGUCCUUCGGGAGAAAGAUUUAUCGGAGAUGGAUGAGCCCGCGUUGGAUUAGCUAGUUGGUGGGGUAAAGGCCUACCAAGGCGACGAUCCAUAGCUGGUCUGAAAGGAUGAUCAGCCACACUGGGACUGAGACACGGCCCAGACUCCUACGGGAGGCAGCAGUGGGGAAUAUUGGACAAUGGGCGCAAGCCUGGUCCAGCCAUGCCGCGUGAGUGAUGAAGGCCCUAGGGUUGUAAAGCUCUUUCACCGGUGAAGAUAAUGACGGUAGUCGGAGAAGAAGCCCCGGCUAACUUCGUGCCAGCAGCCGCAGUAAGAC